AUUGAACGCUGGCGGCAGGCCUAACACAUGCAAGUCGAGCGAGCGGCGGACGGGUGUGUAAUGUCUGGGAAACUGCCUGAUGGAGGGGGAUAACUACUGGAAACGGUAGCUAAUAACGCAUACCAUCAGAUGUGCCCAGAUGGUAUUAGCUUGUAGGUGGGGUAACGGCUCAACUAGGCGACGAUCCCUAUCUGGUCUGAGAGGAUGACCAGCCCAACUGGAACGGAGCCACGGUCCAGACUCCUAAGGGAGGCAGCAGUGGGGAAGAUUGCAACAUGGGCGCAAGCCUGAUGCAGCCAUGCCGCGUGUGUGAUGAAGGCCUUCGGGUUGUAAAGCACUUUCAGCGGGGAGGCGUUACCCGCAGAAGAAGCACAGGCUAACUCCGUGCCAGCAGCCGCGGUAAUAC
rnacentral:rRNA from 1 species